rnacentral:lncRNA from 1 species
CCGUUAUUAGAUAUCUCCAAUUCAAGUCUUCCUUCCUGAGAUGGAAAAAUAGGAGACAAUUUAAGCUUAGACAUUGAUAUCAGCAUUACUUGAAAGAAAUAGUUAUUAAGCAGCAUAAUACCUUGUUAACAAUGCAUGCAUCACUUGAGAAGUUGUGCCUUUCUUUCUUUGGGACUUCAAGACGAGAAGAGAUGGUAUGUUUCUGUUCUUCUGACUAACAAAUCAUUUUAGGAUGUCAACCAAUCAGUUUAAGAAAACUAGUUUCUAUUUGGAAAAGGCUAUAGGCACAUCUUCAUUUAUGAAAGAGUGCAAGAAAAUAGCAGAGACCACCUCCUCUAACAUAGCCGUCAAGUAGUUGAUCGCAUUCUCUUUUGAUAGGUAGUGCUCAACUUCUGAUAUUGACUUGUUAAUUAUUGUUUACUUCUCAGUUCUCACGUGACUGGGCAACGACAUUUCAUUAUAUACACGCAUAUAUAAAACACCGAACAAAGUACUAGUCUUGACCAAUAACAUCAAAGCCUCAACAAGCAUCAAUGUUUUUCCAGUUAAUGAGCCCAUCGAAUUAGUAGUAACAUAUGUGGGUUUUUUUUUUUUUUUGGAGAACAUAACAUAUGUAGAUUUUCUGAAACUACAAUUUAACAAUUUGAUGGUACUUCUAUGCUGCUUCAACUAUUAUUCUUAGAGAUUAUUGUCAAUUCAAUAGAGAUUUGAAGCAGCUCACUGCUACAAAAUAACUUCAUGUGCUCCUCUGUCAAGUUUUACUCCUAUCCACACUAUACAUCAGCAUUAACAGGAGCAGACCCACAUGGGACCAAGAGCGUUCAUAUGAACCCACUUCGUCAAAAAAUAACAGUGUAUAUAGGUCUAUUUUAUCUUUCUUUGAAAGAGUAUUGAUAUCGAAGGGGAGCCUUGGCGUAACUGGUAAAGUUGUUGUCAUGUGAUCAGGAGGUCACAUGUUCAAGCCAGGGAAACAGCCUCCUGCAUAAAUGUAGGGUAAGGCUGCGUAUAAUAGACCCUUGUGGUCCGAUCGUUCACCGGACCCCGCGCAUAGCGGGACCUUAGUGCACCGGGCUUCCCUUUUUUGAAACAGUAUUGAUAUAGGUUAUAUACUGACCCUGCUUAGAACAAAGAUAGCGUCCAGCCUGCUGGCAAAGUGAGUUCAAGUUUUGCAAACUCUCCUUAGUUCGAAACUAUAUUGGAUGCAACUAUUUCUCUUUAACAAAGCAUAGCUCUCUGUUUCGCUUUAAGGAAACUAUAUUGGAUGCAACUAUUUCAAUGACUCUUAACUAAUGAAGCAAAUUACAAAAUUUAGAGGAAAGGACUUCCUGCUGAGGUAACUAUUAUAGUUCUAACUUUUCCUUAUUUAACCGACUAUCACCAAGUAACUAGCAAAGUAAAAAGUUAGGAUAUCUCUCACACUUUCUGCUAUUGUAAUGGGCUUACUAAGGAGAUUUCCUUUUUCUCAAAUUAUUCAAUCUAAAUACCCAUCACAAGUUCCACCGUGAACUACCAAAAUACACUGAUAAAGUUAGCAUAUAUUGAAAUAAAAUUUGUCAUGAAAAGCUGAAAGGUUAAUACUCCAAAUACGACCACUUCCUUUAACUACCCGUUUGACAUUUAAGGAAACCAUAUAUUAACUAGGAAAUACCAAAGAGAAAUUCAGGAAAAGCUAAAUAAUUGAAGGUGAUGCAACAUGUAAUCAUGAGGAGCUCAAACUACUUUAAACUUCAUGUUUGUGCAUCUAUUGAAAGAUAGAGGAAGACACACUGAAAACCUACCCAACAUGUAAUACUUCAUGAUUGCAACACGUAAUCAUGAAGAGCUCAAAGCAAGUUCUGCCGGUCAAUACAUCUGUAUUAUCUCCUGUGGACUUGAACUUGUAUUCCCAGAGUAACAUGAUAAAACCCCUAAAUCCAGCAGCCGAACAUUCUGAAAAGAAAUAUCCAAAUCACCAUUAGCAUAUUGAAAAACAAAAAAAAAAGGCAACAUAUAACAUGGAGAAUCGACUUCAAACUAUUUUUCCACUAAACAAAAGACGGGAUUACAUAUGCUAUAUUCAUAUUAAGUGAUAUGCACAAAGCUGGCAAAUUGACAAUUCCCAUUUGGAGUUAUAUUUAGCUCCUCUAACAGUUAAGAAGUCAUUUCUAGAAUGAAUGACAUCAACGGUUAAGCGCAAAGAAAUAAUUAUGUGGUUAAAGAUUGCGAUUAACCUUGAAGUUCCGGAAAGAAUGGACCACCGAAACUGCAAAGUUAUAAUAUCAAGGUUCUUCCCGAAAAGUGAAAAAAGCACAGCACGGUCUGUCAAGAUGAUUUAAAAUCUUAACCUUACUGAUCUAAACUGGAAAUAACCCAAAAAAGAAGAGAUAGUAGUCUUUAUAUUAUGAAUAAAGUUUCCUUAGUUGAGGACUAACCACUCAUCAGCACAAUUUGAUGGAAUGAUAUGCUGCAAUAACUGGUUCACC